AUUGAACGCUGGCGGCAGGCCUAACACAUGCAAGUCGAGCGGAUGAAGGGAGCUUGCUCCUGGAUUCAGCGGCGGACGGGUGAGUAAUGCCUAGGAAUCUGCCUGGUAGUGGGGGAUAACGUCCGGAAACGGGCGCUAAUACCGCAUACGUCCUGAGGGAGAAAGUGGGGGAUCUUCGGACCUCACGCUAUCAGAUGAGCCUAGGUCGGAUUAGCUAGUUGGUGGGGUAAAGGCCUACCAAGGCGACGAUCCGUAACUGGUCUGAGAGGAUGAGCAGUCACACUGGAACUGUGACACGGUCCAGACUCCUACGGGAGGCAGCAGUGGGGGAUAUUGGACAAUGGGCGCAAGCCUGAUCCAGCCAUGCCGCGUGUGUGAAGAAGGUCUUCGGAUUGUAAAGCACUUUAAGUUGGGAGGAAGGGCAGUAAGUUAAUACCUUGCUGUUUUGACGUUACCAACAGAAUAAGCACCGGCUAACUUCGUG
rnacentral:rRNA from 1 species